rnacentral:sRNA from 1 species
AUUGCGUUUUGAGUCUCGGGACCCCUGUUGGAGAGACUAUGGCGCUCAACAAGAAUCACUCGGAGGGCGGCGGAGUGAUCGUCAAUAACACCGAGAGCAUCCUAAUGUCCUAUGAUCACGUGGAACUCACAUUCAAUGACAUGAAGAACGUGCCAGAAGCCUUCAAAGGGACCAAGAAAGGCACUGUCUACCUUACCCCUUACCGGGUGAGUUGCACAGCAGGGCAGUUGGUUGAGAGGCGUGUUGCUGUUGGAGGUGACGUGAGUCUUAGUGUCAGGUCUGCCUCAGCCUCAUGAGUCAGGUGGCCUCUGAAUCCUGGUGAGUGUUAGUGCUUCACUCUGCCUGUUUCUCUGUCACAUGCUCCUGGAUUCCAGAAUCACCAGGCUCUUUGUGUAACUGACCUGACCACUGGGCAGUGAACCCAUGUCAAUUCCAGAGCCGCUGCUGCAAAAUCUCUAUAGAGUUGGAUGCAGCCGCUGGCAUGACUUGGGCCUGGAGGCCAGACUAUUAUUAUUAAUAUUUUGUUUUCUGUGAGAGUAGCCCAUGAAGCCCUGUGUGUAUCCAGAGUGAGAAA